rnacentral:rRNA from 1 species
UAGGGAAUCUUCCACAAUGGACGCAAGUCUGAUGGAGCAACGCCGCGUGAGUGAAGAAGGGUUUCGGCUCGUAAAGCUCUGUUGGUAGUGAAGAAAGAUAGAGGUAGUAACUGGCCUUUAUUUGACGGUAAUUACUUAGAAAGUCACGGCUAACUACGUGCCAGCAGCCGCGGUAAUACGUAGGUGGCAAGCGUUGUCCGGAUUUAUUGGGCGUAAAGCGAGCGCAGGCGGUUCAAUAAGUCUGAUGUGAAAGCCUUCGGCUCAACCGGAGAAUUGCAUCAGAAACUGUUGAACUUGAGUGCAGAAGAGGAGAGUGGAACUCCAUGUGUAGCGGUGGAAUGCGUAGAUAUAUGGAAGAACACCAGUGGCGAAGGCGGCUCUCUGGUCUGCAACUGACGCUGAGGCUCGAAAGCAUGGGUAGCGAACAGGAUUAGAUACCCUGGUAGUCCAUGCCGUAAACGAUGAGUGCUAAGUGUUGGGAGGUUUCCGCCUCUCAGUGCUGCAGCUAACGCAUUAAGCACUCCGCCUGGGGAGUACGACCGCAAGGUUG